GGGUUCACAUGGCUUAAGCGCGU
rnacentral:piRNA from 1 species